CGACAGUAGGAGGCAGCAUUAUCUCUCGAAUGGUCAUUUCCAUUUAUUCGUCUGUAUGUUGGAAGAAGAAGAAGGAGGCACAUAAAGACGAUGACGAUGGUGAUGGGUGUCGUACACUUACACGAAUUCAACCCUUAUAGGAACCAUCAAAAUACAUGUUAAAUAUGAAAUGCAUGAUGUAUUAAAUAUUUGUAUUUAUCUACGUCAAUUUAGUAGCGUUUUUAAGUGUGAGGUAGGUAGUAGGUAUUCUGUUGGAAGCUGUACGAGGAUUUGAUUGGUAUGGUGAUAAUGGAAUGGCAGUUCUGCUUCGUCUGUAUACGACCGGGUACAGCUUUAUCUUUGCUAAUGAACAUUGGAGAGGCUGCAGAAUGCAUCUUACGCUUUCACUUUACGCGAUGCAUUGGGUUGACUGAGAUUUUUUUGCGGAUGACAAAUGAGUGCGAGUGACAAAGUAUUUAUAUAGUGAAAUAUAAAAAAUAUUUACACAACGUACAAGGAUUCUUUGGCUUGCUUCCUUCAGCCUAUAGAGCUCACAAGACAAAAAUUACAUCAAUAAAUAACACUGAUGAGCUAAAACUUGUUGCAGUUGAAUUAGUUCUGGUUAUGUAUAACAUUGCUAAAAGGUACUAAAUAUACUAAUGUGCAUAUUGUCACCUUUAGCUAUUAAUACACAUAUUAACACAUUCAGCUAACGAUCAAAAUGAAGGUGAGGAUCUGUGUUUUAGACCAGACUGCAUCGCACCCGUCUUUGCGUUGGUUUCAGUUGCGAGUGACUCGCAGCCCUAAGCCAGUCAGUUGUAAUGUCAUUACAGAUCAAGAGAUAGAUUUGCGAAGAUCAGCUCACUGAAAACGGGACUCGGUGGUUAGGUCACGGUGCACUUACCUAUGCAGGCAGGGUCUACUGAGUGGUAGUAUUUAAGUAUUGACAUGUUGGCUUUAAUGACCCCGUUUUAUGGGUAUUAGUGGUCGCUCUGUAGUUAGAUGAGCGUAAAAACAAUGUAAAGUUAUUUCGUUGGCUGUUCCUGUCUCCAGAGCUCAGCCCAGUCAAACAUCCCGGAGCUACACACAGGAGAAGUUCGCACUGAAGAAGGGUAUUGCAUCUCCUCGGUAUAGUUCUAGGCACUUCUGUAAUCCUUACUGGGGUACACUGGUGCUGCUGUAACCGCAACUGUCUGUCACUGGUGUUCCAUCAAAAAGUAGUAGCUAUUAAUAUGUAGGAAACUCAGUGGGGAAAAAAAUCAACCCUUUAACACUACUGGGGACAGAGUGAAGGAUUUACUGCCAAGAAAUGUGAGAAAUACCACUUGCUGAUGUUUUACCCUGUUUACCGUACCCGAUGUAGACAAAAUCCCCUAUGUGCCUGCAAUGUUAUUUGCAUUCUGUCCAGAAGGGGGCAGCAUCUCAUUGCUAUUAAGUGUAUAUGGUGAUUGAAGAAGAAUCAGUCAUGCGGUGUAUUUGUAGGAUUUGGGAAGCUAUCGUUGUGUGUGUGUGUGUAUAUAUAUAUAUAUAUCUCUAGAUGCCACUCAUAUAUUUUAUUUAUUUUGCCAUGUUUUACAGUCACAGGCCAUAAAACUGCCUUUUAUUGUGACAUGAACCCCAGAGUCUCACCAACUGUCCCUGUAAAGUUUAUGGGGAGCUAAGGUUGUGUAACUGCAAACAACUGAGACCAAUAUCCAAGAUUAACUAUACUGGGGAAUGUGUGCACACACACCCUUGAAAGGCUUAAUCUCACCACGUUACUCAAGGCUUGUGUUAGACCUCAUCUUAGAUUAUCAUCCUUACGCUGGUUACUCGCGGUGUUGAGUUUAUUUCCAUUAUUAGCUGACUCAUGAGCCCAGACAUGGCUUUUCAGCGUGCAAGUGCAUGUUUUCUUAAAGCAGUCUGGCUUUGUGUGAGUGUUUUUGUAGUUAUUGCAUUGUGGGGACCAGAUUGGGUGGGGGUUAGGGUUGUAAUAGUUGGGAUUAGGGUUAUGCCCAUAGAAAUCAAUGGAGAGUCCCCAUAAAGAUAUGAAUAUGUGAAUUCUCUCUUUCUGUGUGGGUGUGUGUGUGUGGUGUGUGUCUGUGUGUUUGCAUGGUGUGUGUCUAUUUUCAUGGUGUGUGUGUGGUGUGUGUCUCUAUGUUUGCAUGGUCUGUGUGUGUGCGUGGUGUCUGUGUGUUUGCGUGGUGUCUGUGUGUGUGCGUGUGUGUGUUUGCGUGGUGUCUGUGUGUGUGCGUGGUGUGUGUGUUUGCGUGGUGUCUGUGUGUGUGUGUGGUGUGUGUGUUUGCAUGGUGUCUGUGUGUGUGCGUGGUGUGUGUGUGCGUGGUGUGUGUGCGCGUGGUGUGUGUGUUUGCGUGGUGUCUGUGUGUGUGUGUGGUGUGUGUGUGCGUGGUGUGUGUGUUUGCGUGGUGUCUGUGUGUGUGCGUGGUGUGUGUGUGUGCGUGGUGUGUGUGUUUGCGUGGUGUGUGUGUGCGUGGUGUCUGUGUGUGUGUGUGGUGUGUGUGUUUGCGUGGUGUCUGUGUGUGUGCGUGGUGUGUGUGUGCGUGGUGUCUGUGUGUGUGCGUGUGUGUGUGUUGCUGACCUUGCAGAGGAGGGCACAGUCUCAGAGAGUGACCUGCACCCCACGUCCUCUAGCUCUCACACGCCCAAAGCCAGCCAGCAUUCCUCCCUCCCCGCUGCAGCUCCUCACCUGGCUGCCCUUAUCCCGCAGUACCGAAGCACACAGGAGGGAUUUCCAUGAGCUCCAGCUCUCAACAAGCCCAGAGAAAUGACAAGAUUUCAUGGAAUUCUUCUUCUCAGCAGCUCUAAGAACAUACCGCAAGAGCUUGAGCUAGCUAGACUGCAUGGUGGACCUGUCGUUUUCGAACUCAGAGAUGCUGCAAGAAUACAGCGUUUAAGUUGUAGUAGGGGACUGGGGGAGAGGUGCUUCACAGUUCUGGUUACCACAUAGCUGGCGCGGGUACACAGGUUGCCAUUGCAAAGCGCUGUGUGCCAUGUUGCCACGAACCGCUUCGUGGGGUAAGCAGAAGGCAGGUCUGCUCGCUGCCACACAUCCUCCGCCCUGGCAUAUUUACUCGCUUGAUGACCUGCUCACUGUUUGACUUGGCACGAGUCCCUCUCCUUUUCUAGCCUGAAUUGUUUGUCUGGGUCAUGCGACGACACCAAAAGACACACGCGCCUUAAUCAAAUCCCACGCACACGGUAAAAAUAGAACGAGUAAAAUCAGCUGGACAGGAUACAGGCUUACCAGUAAGCGAAGUUGCACUAUAAGUAAUAUGACCCUAACACUACUCUGCAAUUUUUACAGUUUUCUGCAGUUUCAUUUCUGUGACACUGUUACCAUGGGGUAACACGCAAAAUACACAUAGCCUCAGACAUGCAGAAAUAGAAUGGAAUCAAAAGAAAAAGGAGUCAUGCUUAGUCUGAACCAAACCUCAGAAUGAAUAAAAAUCCACCAGGGAUUCUUCAGAUGGGAUCUGAACCUGAGUAGCUUCUAUAAAAUAUAAAAAUUGGCAACUAAAGGUACCUCAAAGUAUUGACUUAUGUGUGAUUUUGAAGGCAUUUGUUAAUAUUCUUUAUUGAACAUCUACUGUAAUAUUCAUGUUGAAAACAAACAUAAAUGUGUUUAUCAAAAGUAUGUUUAGCAAUGAAAUUUAUGGACGAUACUGUCUAACCCAGGAAUGGCAGAAAAUAUUUCUGGGAUGGGGCAUUUUAGGGCAGACGGCUCUGCUACAUCUGUACGUUUGCGCUUUAUAGUGGAGUGCUGCUCUCUGUCAAACUCGGCAGCUGAGACUGCAGUGAGCUUUGAAUCUGUACGGAUGCCCAGUAGGAUGUACGAAAACACUAGUUUAAGGCCAGUGACGAGAGGUCCCACUUGUAUGUUGCUUUGGACAGAAGCAUCUGUCUGAUAAAUAAAUGUAAACAUAAAGA